UUAGUUAAGUGAAUAAGGGCGCACGGUGGAUGCCUUGGCACUAGGAGCCGAUGAAGGACGGGACUAACACCGAUAUGCCUCGGGGAGUUGUAAGUAAACAUAGAUCCGAGGAUUUCCGAAUGGGGAAACCCACUGUUCGUAAUGGAACAGGACUUAUGUCUGAAUACAUAGGGCAUAAGAGGCACACCCAGGGAACUGAAACAUCUCAGUACCUGGAGGAAGAGAAAGCAAAUGCGAUUUCCCAAGUAGCGGCGAGCGAAACGGAAACAGCCCAAACCAGAGAGCUUGCUCUCUGGGGUUGUAGGACACUCCACAAGGAGUUACAAAGAAAUUCUUUAGAUGAAUCAACCUGGAAAGGUUAGCCAAAGAGGGUAACAGCCCUGUAAUCGAAAAAGAAUUUCCUCCGGAGUGGAUCCUGAGUACGGCGGAACACGUGGAAUUCCGUCGGAAUCCGGGAGGACCAUCUCCCAAGGCUAAAUACUCCCUAGUGACCGAUAGUGAACCAGUACCGUGAGGGAAAGGUGAAAAGCACCCCGGGAGGGGAGUGAAAGAGUACCUGAAACCGUGUGCCUACAAGUAGUCGAAGCGCGUUCAUGCGUAACGGCGUACCUUUUGUAGAAUGGACCGGCGAGUUACGAUUGUAUGCAAGGUUAAGUGGAAGACACGGAGCCGUAGCGAAAGCGAGUCUGAAUAGGGCGAUUUAGUAUGCGGUCGUAGACCCGAAACCGUGUGAUCUACCCAUGUCCAGGGUGAAGGUCAGGUAACACUGACUGGAGGCCCGAACCCACGUAUGUUGAAAAAUGCGGGGAUGAGGUGUGGGUAGGGGUGAAAUGCCAAUCGAACACGGAGAUAGCUGGUUCUCUCCGAAAUAGCUUUAGGGCUAGCCUCAAGAUGAUGAGUACUGGAGGUAGAGCACUGAUUGGACUAGGGGCCCUCAUCGGGUUACCGAAUUCAGUCAAACUCCGAAUGCCAGAUACUUAAACUUGGGAGUCAGACUAUGGGUGAUAAGGUUCAUAGUCGAAAGGGAAACAGCCCAGACCACCAGCUAAGGUCCCAAAGUAUACGUUAAGUGGAAAAGGAUGUGGAGUUGCUUAGACAACCAGGAUGUUGGCUUAGAAGCAGCCACCAUUUAAAGAGUGCGUAAUAGCUCACUGGUCGAGUGACUCUGCGCCGAAAAUGUACCGGGGCUAAACGUAUCACCGAAGCUGUGGAUUGUUCUUACGAACAAUGGUAGGAGAGCGUUCUAAGUGCUGUGAAGUCAGACCGUGAGGACUGGUGGAGCGCUUAGAAGUGAGAAUGCCGGUAUGAGUAGCGAAAAAAGAGUGAGAAUCUCUUUCACCGAAUGCCUAAGGUUUCCUGAGGAAGGCUCGUCCUCUCAGGGUUAGUCGGGACCUAAGCCGAGGCCGAAAGGCGUAGGCGAUGGACAACAGGCAGAUAUUCCUGUACCACCUCAUGACCGUUUGAGCGAUGGGGGGACGCAGUAGGAUAAGGAAUGCGCACGGAUGGAUGUGUGCGCCCAAGCAGUGAGAAAGUCAGGUAGGCAAAUCCGCCUGGCCAUUUCAAGCUGUGAUGGGGAGGCCUUCUGGCCGAAGUUCCUGAUUUCACACUGCCGAGAAAAGCCUCUAGCAAGGUCACAGGUGCCCGUACCGCAAACCGACACAGGUAGGCGAGGAGAGAAUCCUAAGGUGAGCGGGAGAACUCUCGUUAAGGAACUCGGCAAAAUGACCCCGUAACUUAGGGAGAAGGGGUGCUCUACGGAGUAGAGCCGCAGUGAAUAGGCCCAAGCGACUGUUUAGCAAAAACACAGGUCUCUGCGAAGCCGAAAGGCGAAGUAUAGGGGCUGACACCUGCCCGGUGCUGGAAGGUU
rnacentral:rRNA from 1 species